UUGUUGCCUUACCUCUCAUGUCUGUGCUUUCUCAAGUCAGCUUCAUGAUGUUAUUGAUGGGCGUGUCACUUUACGAUGCAAGAUGCUGGAGUAUGACAAUAUCUACCUGGUGAUGUGGACAAUUGAACAGAUAUUCACCAACAGCUUACGUAAAUCACCUUGUCCUCAAGAAGUAAAAGAACACCUAACUACUUUGAUGGAGGACAGUGUUGUUCAUAUCUCAAGAUCGUUUCCUGUUUUUGCCUCAUACAUUUGGCGUCUACAAGCUUUAAUUAUAGAAUAGUACUUAUAGUUAGAAAUUUUUCAACUUUUGUACAUGUAUAUUAAUGUAUUGAUGCUUUGUUUGAGCUUCCCAGUAUUACAAGGAAAUUAAUGAGAAGCGAAACUAUUUAUACAUAUCUGCAUCAAGGUUAAAUGAAUUAUUCAA